GGCAAACCCUAUCCAAACAAGGAAGGGGAGGAAGAUGCAUUGCAAAAUUGUGGAUAGGUCACGUGAUUCAAAAAUACAUGCAUAGAUAUAUUUUUGUCUGGAAGGCCCUGCUCAGAAGUAUGAUGCACUUUAGUGCUUUGCGCAGUGAGUUGCUUCCCAGAAAAAAAGAGAACAUUAAAAACACGAACAGCAAAAGCCUGGUAAAAGUUGUAACCAGCUCUGACUGUCCAUGGUAUGACAGCCAACAAAUAUCACCUGCUGAUGAUUUACAGAUUCCUGGGAGAUGUGGUGUUGAGUCUCAAAGAACUGGAAUGAGAACAACUCACUCAACGUGCUUCUCAGGAAACAAUUUGAAAAGCUUCUAGUGUGGCCUGCACCAUGAAAGGACUCCGACAGCUUUGCAAUUAUACCUUGUUCCUCCUCAUUCUUCUGUAUUCCAUCUUGGAGCGGUGAAUCUUCAAUCAUCACAAUUUUGUUGGGGCUGACAAAAAAAAGGACAGUCUUCUGACAGCUCUGGAGAGCCUGUAAUUCAUGUUACUUCUUGAAGUAUUUCACUAGCUAGCACCAAAGGUCAGAUGCUUGCUUUCCUUUACUAAGCCUCUCCUUUUCAAGGCUGGUGUUUCUGUCUUGAUAAUGACCAACUUUGUCACCAAGCUGCCUUUUUUCUAACCUGACAUCAAACUCACCAUCUGACUGAAGAUGAUUCCUAGGCUUAUCUGCUUAGAACAUGGCCUAGUCUUGGGUGCAACAGGAAUAGAGGGCUUCUCCCUGCAGUCAGAAGUCUCAGUUGUAUUUUUAAGUCAUCUGAAAGCACCUUUGCACUGGUAAGGGUGGGAAGCUCAACACAUUUCCUUGCAUCCUGCGUGUUUUCUGAUUGACACCUAGAGCUAGAGGAGGAAUUGAGCUUCUGGCAGUGGUUAUGAGUCUGGCAAUCACAAAGCUUCUCUUACAAACUAAGCUGUGUCAGGGUGCACAUCAAGGACCAAAAAUAUUCCUAUGAAGACCUUGCUUUCCUUAGAUAGAGAAGACUGAGUUGUAUGGAGUUACUGUGCGACAGGGAUUGAGAGCUGUCGCACUACCAAGUGUGGUGGUUGGUUUGUUUGAUUGUUUAUUUAUUUAUUUAUUUACUUUAAGCAGAGUUCUCUCCCAGAAUUUCUUUUUCACAUACAGCCUGUCACUGCUUGAGGUGUUUGGCUUUCUGUCUGUGUAGAUAAAUAGACACACCAAAAUACUGUCACCAAGACGGUUUGACUUAGGUCACUUUACAGUAGAUACUCAAGUCCCUCUGAAGAAGCAAGAGCAUUGCAAAAACUGUAAUCCCAAGGUUUUUAUUUUGAUUUAUUUAUUUUUUUUAAGCAGAAGUAUCAGCUAUCUGCAAUUCAAAGUGAGGGUUUGAGGGUGGGGGGCUUAUGCUUCCCAUUUUGCUUUUAAGAAGGUCACAGCAAAAGCAUGUGAUUGAAUAUUUUGCAUGGAACUGCCUAUGACAAAGACAAAGAGAAGGGGUUUGUCAUAGUGCUAUGAAAAGAAAGUGAGAGAAAGCGAGAAAAAGAUCUGUGUUAGAUUUUUGAGGUAUAUUUGAAAGAAUGAAAUAAUAAAAAAAAGCUUUCAAAUCCUCAGGGACUUUCCAAUUUAUCAAGAAAGACACAUUCUUCCUAAUGAAAGGUUACUGACCUUCAUGAAUGUGACAGUUCAAUUACAGCCCAUUCAUAUGCAGAGCAGCCGUUGAUAAAGGAUUUAGGAAAUGUGACUAGCAUAGCAAAAAAAAAAAAAAAAAAAAAAAAGGGCGGGGGGAAUGUCUACAAAAUUAUUUUUUAUUGUGGUGCAAGAAAUAUAAAUAAGAUUCAGUCAGGUAGUAGAACCUUUUCUUCUCUGGCCGAGCAACCCAUUAGAUUUGCUUCAGUGAAUGCAUUGACUUUUUUCCUCUUCUUUUUCUACUAAUAUUUCUGUCUUUUUAAUCCUCUGAACUACUAAACCUAACAAAUCAUAAAGCCCUUGGGGUGCUGAGAUGCAAGGUUUCAAACAUUUUUUCCUUCUGACUGGCAGAGAAAGCUGGAAUGUGUCCUAAUGUUAUUUUAAGUGCUUGACUAGUAUUUAAACUCUUAAAUGGAUGGAAAGUUAAAGCAGCAGCAAAUGCACGCGCACAUACAUGUACCCCCCUUCCUUUUCCUUCCACCUUCUCCUCCCCCCUGCUUCCCCCCACACACUGAGCUUGGCCUCUCCAAGGCUGUUAAUAGCCAAAGCAGAUAUUGGCUAGACUCUCUGGAGCCAGCCUUCAGCCAAUGGAGGGUGACACCUGUGAGCUGAUGUUUGUUGAACUCCUCCAGGUGUAGGAAAGAUGCUUAAAUUGACAUAAGGCAGGAGCUGUAAAAACAGGCAAGUAUGUCACUCAUACAUAGAGCUCCCUGGAAGAUCCCAAGGCGAAGCCAUUGCGAAACAGCUAGACAGAAGAAUGUCUCAAUUGCUUUGAAAUAAUUCCAGAUUAUCUGUUUAUCUAUCUGCAUGCACACACACACUCAGGGAUCUAGGCCUAUGUGCACUGUGUGCACAUGAGGUGUUCCUACAAAAUAACAUGAGGCUUAUGUCCCUGCAUACACACGUACAAACCCAUCCUGUGUUUCAAGGUGAUGGCAGGCUGACAAUUGUAGAAUUAGAUGAGGACAAUCCUUUGCUUAGUGUAAGCUCUCACAGGUGGCCUCAGGUGGAGUGGCAGUGGAGGAAGUUUAGUGCUGACCUGUAUUCAUGUUAGGUCAUGAUUGUAUGGAAGGCAUUGUCUUCCACAGAGCAGCAAACCCUACUCUUGAUUUGAGGCAAGUCCUCAAAUCCAAGUGCAAUCAAAUGGGUGUAAAGAAGUGCUAAAACUGUUUGUGGAAGGCAGAGCCAAAAGACAUUUCCUUGGCCUCUGCUCACUAUCUGUGAAAUGGCAUGCAAGUUUCUGAGAAAUGAGAAGCUUGGUGCUACCUCCACCCAGACACAGAGCAGAAAUUUUCCACACUGUGUUCAGGCACAGUAGAAGUGCAGGGACUGAGACUGUGAUCCUUGUUCUCAGUAGUAAGGCAACUGUGGGAAGAAGAUGCCAGUGCAUCAUAUUUUCUGCUUCUGUUAUGGCUGAUUAUGAUUUCUGGGAAGUAAGAACCAUUUUCGGUACUUCAAGUCAGUGCAUUAGAUACUUAUCUUCCCUGUCUGGUUACCAUCUCUGAGUGAAUUUCAAGACCUGUCCCUAGUGGAUAUUUUGAGUACCCUACUGAAAAUUGUAUAAGUUCUCAGGAAGGGCUUGAGGGGCCUGUUCUUGAGUUCAUGGGGCUUUCCAUCAAUAGUCAUCCACUGGUACUCACUGCUUUGCAGAUUUUCAACCUCUGUUGCCUCACUAAGGUUUAGGUGAUCAUUGUGGAGGAAAUAACACUUCCUUGUCCUUAGUCUAAUUUUAGAUUGAGUGCUGGUAUGAAAUUAGCUUUGACAGCAUACUGUCUCACAGUGAGGUAUCCAGAUAAAGUAAUCAAUCGGUCUUUAUUGGUUCUUUCAGGUGGUGUUAAACUGCAUAAUUGUAAGGUAUUGAAUUAUGGAAAUCAUGGUAGAAAUUACUGGGAUCCCUUUGGAAUGGUCACAUUCUCACUUCUUUUUUAAGCAAAAGUUCAUCCGUUCAAAGAGCUUUUUAAGGCAGCUUCCUUUAUUCUCCCUUUUGUUUAGCACAUACCUGAGACAUUCAGGAGGGUGUUAGGAAGCACCAGGAGAAAUGAAUACAAUGCAUUCCAAAAAGAUCUGUUUAAAAAAAUUAUAUAUAUAUGUAGAUGUAGAUGCAAACCAAGUGCAAAUGUAGCAGGAAACCCAGUGUCUGUUUUGGACACCCUGAUGUUUUUUAUAUGCUACUUGCUUCUCCUGGCAUUAUGCAGCCCAGACUGCUCUAGAAGCUGUGGGCUUCUAGACAAACAAAUGACCAUCUUCCCUCUCAUAGCCUUCCGCUGCCUCAUAGUUCUACAAGAUUAGAAUCAAGGUCCUUUGACCACUGAAGAGGAGCUUCCUAGUAACAUGCUUGCCACUUGUUUUUAAUCGUGAGAGGGAAAACAAGAUAAAGGGAUUGAAAAUACUGCCAUUUUAAAGACCAGAAAACCUGUUUGGAGUCUUUCUGUGUAGUUGGAUUCUUUGUAGGUAGGGUCCCAAUCUAGCAAAGCAUUUAAAACACUGAGACAUUACAUUUUCUGAACUGAGGACUGAAUCAAUUAUAUUUAAAAUUGAGAGAGUACAAGAACUAAUCCAAGUACAUUGUAUAAAAUUCCGUAUGUCAUCCCUCAAAUAUGUUUUCUGCAACCUGCUGUAGUAUAUUUGGACUAUGAUGUGAUACAAAGAGUUUACCGGAAUUCAUCUGGGAUAACCUUUCCACAAUGUUUUGUCUUUGCCUCUUGUAGAUAACGCAUGCCAUCUAGACUUUUUUUUUAACUUCAUAAGAUCCACAAAACAAAACUGUAAAAAUUUGGCUCAGAAAAUCUUUACUGUCUUUCAGAAUUAAGCUUACUUUUCACCACUAGUAAAAUAUAUUUAUUUUACUUCCAUUGGACUGUGGACAAUUUGAUCAACUCUAAUUUUUAGACAGCUUAAUUUUCAUUAAGAUUUUAAUAUUCAAAUUCAAUUAAAAGCCAUCUUUACUGAAUGCAAAAUAAUAAAAAUAAUGCUCGUUACCAGCAUCACAAGAACAUUUCUGAUCUCAUUUGCCCUGGUUAAAAAUGCUGUCUUUGUUUUCUGCUUACAUUUAAUUGGCAGAGUUCCUUUAAAGUUUACUCUUGGCCCUGAGACUUGAGAGUGCAGUCAGGCAUGUGACUGAGAGCAGUCCUAAUAGGCAGGCUGCAUAACCUCACCAGCUAAAGCUCACAGGCUAUGAAGGGGGUUGUUCACCAGGGGAAAAACACAGUCCACUGCCGCUCAAGCUAGCAUGAACUUUAUAUACUACAUGCCUUGCUGAUUGAUUAAAAAUGUAGUCAUCCUUAAAGGCAAAUCACCUAAGGGCUUACAAUAAGUUACAAAUAUAAAGAUGGUUUUAUGGAGUGUACUUUUACGUAACAGACUCUUUCAGGAUGAGGACUUUGUUUGCAAAGUCAGUGCAAGUUGGUUGGUGACUCCUGUUAGCUUGCUGGUUAAGGCAGGUUCUCAUGAAUCAGUUCAUGUGGAAACCAAACUGCACCUGAGCAAACAUAGGAAGGUGGAGAACGAAUUGCUUUCAGUUUGCAGCCACAAAAGUUAGAGUGACUUAUGCAUGUUCCAGUAGGGAAAACUUUCUCUCAUGGCAGAUUAUUUGAUAAGAUAUGGCAGAAAUUAAUUUUAUUGGGGCUAGUAAAUGUUAGUUAUUGUAUGGCUGCCCCCCUUCUAGCUAGAUUUAAAGAUUUAUCUGGAGUAAUAAAAUGAAUUUGACCCUCUGUCUCUGUUACUCUGAUGCCCUCAGUGAACUGGUAUGAGAUGGCACACAGGAAAGUAUGACACAUUUGCAUAUGUAUUCUCUAGAUACCCAAAAGAAUAAGUAAAACAAGGUAUCUGACAGUCCAUGUGCUUUUUAUGGUAGGCUUAACAGUAUGUAGCCACAGCUUCAGCUCAGCCUUAAGAGCAUCGGGAACAGAAGAGCGGGUGACUGUGCAGGUGACAGCACAUUGUGUCAAGGCCAACAAAAUGGCCUCUGAAAGAGUAUUCAUUCCAUUCCAUUGAUAGGCAGUUACUGCAUCAAACUCUUGACAGAUUUUUUCUUGCAUAUAGUAAGAACAAAUAUAUAUAUAUAUAUAUAUAUAUAUAUAAUUCAUUUUCUAAGCAGAUGUGUUGCUCUACCAGUGUGUACUAGUAACCCCCUUUUCAUUUAGGCAGCUUUCAAUGUGGGCAUAAAUUCUUUCAUGUGCAGCUAAUUAAAACUGUGCUGAAGAAGAUAAAGGCACAGCAAGUGCAUGUAUUAUCUGUCUGGCAUGGUGUAUACUCAACAUGUUAGGGUAGAGACCACUCUGUCUAUUGUCUUACAACAUAUCAAUACUAAGAACUGGAUCCAGACAGGCAAUGUUGGCUCAUAUCCAGAAUAUGUUACAACUGUAUGUGUAUAUAUCAAGCCUGAAGUAUUUAAACAGACCCCAACUCCGGUGUAUCAAAGUGUCUAGAAAACACAUUUCUUCAAAAGAGCCUUUUCUACUUUGGAAUAAGCAAGAAAAAUAGUAACAGGCAAGAUAUAUUACAAAAUCUGGGCCCCCAUCCAGGAAAAGCACAAGUUUCCAAGAUCCUCACAUUUUUACAUUAUGGCCUAUAUUGAGGUCAAACCUUUUUAAGGUGCAGAUUUUUCUGCUGGGUACUUGAGAAGGAAACAAUGUGGGUUCAUUUCCAUUUUGAUUCUUUAUGAUGCAUAAAGGAAUCCUGUGAAAUUUGAUUUUUAAAAGGUUGUGGCUUCUUUUUUCCUUCUCAGUUCUAUUCCUGACUUGUCACCUGAUUUUCUGUGUUUUUUGGGGCUGUUAGUGCUGAGGAUUGUGGAUCCCUCCUUGAAGAGGAAAGAUGCUGAAGCUUUAACAGACUUUCUCCAACAAGCUUGAAACUUCUGAAUCUUUGUUCAUUUAAAACAGGUUUUGCUUUCAUUGUAUCUCUUAACUUUACUGGUUUUCCACAGAGUCUCACUAUGGCAAUGAGAUAAUGAAAGCAUGAAUUGAUACUGUCCAGAAAGAAAAAGACACUGGGGAAAAAAAAUCCAUUAGAAAAUUUAUCAAUAAUAAUAAUGACAACGACAACAAUAAAAAUAAAGCUGGAAAACAUCCUGUCUAUUCGUAUGGCAUUGGGAUAACCCUUAAAGAUUUUUUUCUAAGAUAGAGAAAAAUCCCCUCAGUGGGUUCAGCAGUUAAUUUCUUCUGGCCACAGAGAGGGAGGGUGUAGCAUUGGCACAGCUUGGGAUUGAAGGCUGCUUCCCGGUUCCCCUCUUGGGUUCUCCUGAGGGCUGUACUUGGUGACUCCAGAUCAGGACUGUGUUCAGCCUGCCAGGUGGCCAGUGCUGUCCUACUGGUUUGUGCCAGGUGAGAGUUAUUGCAUAUAUAUUACAUACUGCUGUCUGCCCUUGGCCUCACGCUGUAGACACUGAUGAAAAUACUUUCCACUCAUCCCCUUGUCUGCCACAGUUAAUCCUGUGCAGCCAUUCUUUUUAAUACUGCAUGUGGAUACAUGCAAAAUUCAUUACUAAGAUGCCUUGUUCAGGUUUAUCUUACUUUCUAUUUCCUUUGAUUAUAAGGAGCCCCAGGGAUUUCAUCUUGUGGCAUAUACUGACCAUUCAGUGGAGCUAUUAAGAAAAGAGGUAAAAUAGGGUGAUGUAUCAUUUCUUGCUAGCCAGUCAGAUACAUAGUUUAACAAUGAUGCUAUGACUUUUUUCCUUACUUGAUUCAUGUUUUUUGUGAAUCGCUGACAGAGUCAGUAUCAAUCUUCCAAAAGAUGGGAACACUUUCCAGUGGCUGCUUUAUUAUACACGGAUGGUAUGCACAUCCGUUGCACAGGCUUUGCCUGGACAGAGCAAAGUUGAACAUUUGCACGUACUGACAGUCUGACAGAUGGAGAGCACAUUAGAUCUACCAUGUAUGUGCUGUGCAGAUGCCCCUAAGUCUGUCCUGAGUUCAUCCAACCUGCUGUCUAUGUGGGUUGGCUGUUGGCUCAGUGCAGCUGUGUUGGCCAGAUUUGUCAUGACAAGUGCUGAGCUGUGCUCCUUGGUUUGCUCAGGGUGGUUGGACAUCUGCAGCUUAGUGAGAACCAUGUCACUGCUCCUGCUUGGACCUGUCUGUAGGGCAGCCAGCAAGACCAGGCAAACAUCCCAAUGCUUCUUUUCACUCAGAUUUCCGGACAGAUAAAAGAGGACGUGUUUGGUGAAACUGGCAUCUAGAGUGACUGCAGUAAUCUAUCAGUUCGUGGCCUCCUGUAACCUCUUCAGGGAGUACUGUCCUAUGCAGUUCUGGAGUGCCACUAACCUUUGCUCUCUGCAUCUCCUCUCCUGCAAGUAAGGCCAACAGAAUGGGUAAAGCUAAAAGAAAAUGAUGCUGUCUGAUAAGCCACAGUGACUGGAAUAGCCCUUCAACUUUGCUAGAGACAUCAUAAUAUACCAUGAAAGCUUAAGUACUACACAGUCAUUAGGUUUGGGCCCUAGGCAUUUUCUGGGGUGAAUUUUUUGCAUUUCCACAGGAGGGGUUUGCAGAACCUUUUCAUUUCCAUGUUUUCUGUCCUGAUCUUGAGUUAAGUGGUAGCCAUUAAUCUCAAUGUUUCAUAUUAAGAAAUCUGGGAAGUCUAUGCCUUCCACUACUGCCUCAUAGAAAAGCUUGCUUCACAUACAAUGAAAGAUAAGGGGUUUAUUUUUUUGCUAGAGAUUGUGUGGGUAAGAAGGCAUCCAAUCUGUCAAACUCUUCAUGACUAAUAAAUAUUAACUGCUUCAAUUCUUCUAAUUAUUAUUAUUUUUAUUUUUUUUUAAUGUGUGGCCAACUACUUAAAUAUUUAACCAUCUGCCAAAAACACACUUGGAGGUUUAUUCUACAACAUACAGACAAUAUUGUAGACAAUGGAAACUUUUAAUAUAAUCUCUAGAUGAAUAUAACAUUGAUUUUUUUUCCUCAAGUCAAUAAAGAUAAAAUGUAGUGUGUUAAAUGUUGUCAGGGUCUCCGCAUAAUGACACCCCCAGUCUCCUCUAAUCACUCCUCUGUUCCAACAUGUUGGAGGAUCAUAUUGUCACAGAAGGGUUGAAAAACUCCCUGUGUUAAGAUACUGAACAGUUAGUUAACCCAUGUUGGACACAACGGAGCUAGCCACAGGAUAUGCCCAUGCCUCUUCUAUGUGAUGCAAUAGCUGAACACAGUAGGAUGCAUACAGACCAAGAAUAAUGAUACUCAUUUUCAAUUCAAGCUUAGCAAAGCAGAUGUAUACCAGCUGGGCUUCCACCUCAUGGUCUUCUCACUUUCACUUUCUUUUGCAUUCUUUGCUUCUCUUGAUCUAGCAAUGUCUGUAAGACUGAUGCCUUGGGGGGAAAAAAGGGAGAGAGAGAGACUUUGAAAUGCCAGGCAGCAAGCAGGAACAAUCCAGACAGCAGGUGAUAUUUCAAAGCUUCAGGUCAAGAUGAAUCAUCAAGCCCUGAGGCCCUAUAUUACUUCAGAUCCCCAGAAGCCGCCUAAAUUCCAGAAGCUAACUGACCUCUUUAAAGGUGGUAAUGAAUAAUCAAUACUAUAUUUGAUCCCUUGCAUGAAGGUAUUACAACAAAUGGCACUAUGGCUUUUGAAAGGAAGAAUAACAUUUUGAUCUUACAUGGUAAAAUUGCCAUGCUCAAGACUACCUCCUGGCUCAUAUGCUUAAUUAUGUAAUGAUAUCCAGCUGUACUACAAAGGUGUCUUGCAGAAAGCCAGGCUCCACUAAGAAUAAAGGGUCUGAUAGGAAAUGUUUAGACUCUGAGAUACUCUGACACAAAAUUAUGUUUCUGAAGAGAAUCCCUGGUUGUGUGUUUUUAUGGUGUUCUGCUCAGGACCAGGCAACCAAAACAAGACCACGCUCAAUAAAAAAAGGUUUAUAAUUUUAACUGGGGAGACAGAGCAGACUUUGGGUCUAGUUUCACCAACAGAUGAAGAAAAUGUCAUUCAGUGAGAUCUAAAAGGCUAUAGAAGAGAUAAAUUAUUCCUCUCCUUACCCAUUGUUCUUCCCCUCCCAUCAGUUGUACUUUCCCUGCAAUGCAACAUUAGAACUGUCUUAUGAGAUAGAAGUGUGAGGGACAUCAGCUCGAGCUGUCUCCUCACUGGUCAGGUAAAUAGAAAUGUGUUUUGGAUAUGGAUUAAGCUGUGUUGUGUGUUACAGAUGUCUGAGUACACAUGGACUUAUGAAGCUGCAUUUUCUAUCCAAGCAAGGCAAGGAGCCCUGCUGAAUUCAAGUAGUCCUGGAGAGGUGACUUCC